rnacentral:tRNA from 1 species
ACCUGGGUGGCUCAGCUGGUGAAGCAUCUGACUUCGGCUCAGGUCAUGACCUCAGAGAUUGUGGGUUCCAGGCCCAUCCCAGCUC